rnacentral:rRNA from 1 species
AUCGGUGACAGGUGGUGUCAUGGUUGUCGUCAGCUCGUGUCGUGAGAUGUUGGGUUAAGUCCCGCAACGAGCGCAACCCCUAUUGUUAGUUGCCAUCAUUCAGUUGGGCACUCUAGCGAGACUGCCGGUAAUAAACCGGAGGAAGGUGGGGAUGACGUCAAAUCAUCAUGCCCCUUAUGACCUGGGCUACACACGUGCUACAAUGGUUGGUACAACGAGUUGCGAGUCGGUGACGGCGAGCUAAUCUCUUAAAGCCAAUCUCAGUUCGGAUUGUAGGCUGCAACUCGCCUACAUGAAGUCGGAAUCGCUAGUAAUCGCGGAUCAGCACGCCGCGGUGAAUACGUUCCCGGGCCUU